rnacentral:rRNA from 1 species
CCUACGGGUGGCAGCAGUGAGGAAUAUUGGUCAAUGGGCGCGAGCCUGAACCAGCCAAGUCGCGUGAGGGAUGACGGUCCUACGGAUUGUAAACCUCUUUUGCCGGGGAGCAAGCGUGCGUUCGUGAACGCGCGUCGAGAGUACCCGGAGAAAAAGCAUCGGCUAACUCCGUGCCAGCAGCCGCGGUAAUACGGAGGAUGCGAGCGUUAUCCGGAUUUAUUGGGUUUAAAGGGUGCGUAGGCGGUCGGAUAAGUUAGAGGUGAAAUCCCGAGGCUCAACUUCGGAAUUGCCUCUGAUACUGUUCGGCUAGAGAGUAGUUGCGGUAGGCGGAAUGUAUGGUGUAGCGGUGAAAUGCUUAGAGAUCAUACAGAACACCGAUUGCGAAGGCAGCUUACCAAGCUACUUCUGACGUUGAGGCACGAAAGCGUGGGGAGCAAACAGGAUUAGAUACCCGGGUAGUC